UAUAGAUGUUGACGCAUAACAAUUGAUGGAUUGAUAUUUGCUUUAAUAUACAUGUAGUCUACAUUGGAGCCUUAUGGUGAUUUGUGUUUCCAAUAACACAAUCUACUACUUUGACUCGGCUCGUAUAUGGCCACCAAGGAAGUUGCUAGUGAAUAACCUAUUGAAUAGUGUUAUGAAGAAGUUGAAUUGUCGUUCGGUUGCGGGUCCCAUGUGGAAAGAUGCGAAGGUAAAGCCUUGAUAUAUUGAUUUAUUUAAUAAAAUUGCCUUGAGUUUUAUCAUAGCAUGACUAUUUUAACUUUGUGUCAUUUUAGUGUGCGCAACAAGACAACGACGUUGACUGUGCCCUAUACGUGAUGAGGUUUAUGCAUGACAUAAUCAAUAGGUGCACUGAAGCCCAACACAUUGAGGAGGUUUGUAAGAUUCAAAGGGAAGGCCCUUUGACAAAGGAAGAAGUUGAUGAAAUUCGCGACAUGUGGGCUUUUUGUGACAUUUGAUGGCAUCUAGGUAGAAUAUAUAAUAUAUAUGUGUUAGUUAGAUAAUGAAUUUGAUUGAGUUUUUAUUUUUAGUAUGUAGUAAAUCCAUAUGUACAUUAUAUUACUUAUUUGUAAUUAGUACUAUACAUUAUUUAUGAGUUUUAUAUAUGUUAUUAUUAUUAUGCAUUUU